GGGCGUGGCCUUGGGCUUCUUGCUCUGGAUGUUCUAGGUGAGAUGUCUCCAGGGUUGGUGAAGAACGGCCCCUCCAAACAUCUGCAGGAAAGAGGCCGCGGACGCCACGGGUGCUGCCGGAGAAGCACCGAGGAGGCUAGACUGGCCUGAGCAGGAGCAGAAGAACAGUGCAAGAACACCUCUACCCAUGUAUGCACAUGAAGCCCAACAACCAUCAGCGGCUGCACCUCAGCCACUACCUGACUAAACGCCGUGAGGAAUGUGAAGAAAAAGCUGCUCGGGUGAUUCCACAUUUUUAAGCUAUUAUGUUUAGAAUAUAUUUGCUUAAUAGUAGUACAAAUUAGAAAAAAAAACUAAUAAAGGGCAAGGAUUUGAGAAUAUCGUGGAUAAAGGUGUAAUAAAAUAUUUUAAAUUUUAAUUUCA